UACUAGAUUAAAGGCAAAUUAUCUGCCGGGAAUUGUUUUACUGCCGGUAGAAGGAUUCAAUGGCAGAUAAACUGCUGGGAGAAUUUGAGCAUGGCCCACCCGAGCGAGACUGUCCCCGUGGCGCGAGACUGAAAUUACUCGGCCCAAACCCGCUGGAGCGAGAGAGCACGCGAGGGACUGAAAAUAUUCACAGAAAAACGUUAUAGGCGCCGCCCCCACCAGUUCUGCCCCAAAUCGAACCCUCCUCCCCAUCUCAGCCCUCCCGUCGGACCGACGCCGCCACCUACAUCCCCCUCCACCGCUAACCUGUUCAACCUCCACCAAUAUUAAUGGUGCGGACGCAUCGAGGUCGACGUCGCCUCCCUCCACACCCAUCUGGUGUGCGAGGUGGACAUCGCCGUCCUCCCUUGGGCUCCGCCAUCGAGAUUGGUCAACGCCGUCGGUGCUCGACGCUUGCCUCCCUCCCCAGCACCAGAUCCGACGGCAGCACCGAGCCCCUCCAUCGUGCCGCAAGCCCGCCGACGGCAAGCACCAGAGGAAGCGGUGCUUCUUGGCUCCUCUACCAUCUCUGGGUCGUCGCGCCACCACCAUGCCGCCACGCUCUACAUCCCCGCGGACCUCCAUCUGAUGACCAUGGGAGGGCUUCCUCCACCCCGACGGCGAGCGCAGUGCGUGCUCGUCACUACGCUGGUACAAAAGGCUGCUCAGAUCUGUCAAGGUGGAAACCAGAUGCAGGUACUGAAGACAUAUAAUGAAUGUUGGGACCCUUUCCCCCCUUGUCUUUGAAGGAUUUGUGUGUAGAAUAAUGAGAUGUAUAGGGGGGUUGAGUUACAGAGGGAGUUGCUAUCAUCAAUUCAUCAUGCACAUACAUGCUAGUUCCCUAAUUCUCCUCAUACUCACGUGAUUAAUUCAGUGCAUGUUAAACAUUUUUUACGUCUGUUUCAGUUAUAGAUGCCCCUCCUCUCUAAAUAGGUGGUUGGAAGAACCCCUAUCUUUAAUUUUGCCUAAACUUGUAACAGGUUGUGGAUUAAUAAAGGUUACUUUUUCUGUAAAAAAAUGUACGCUCAGUUGUGGACUGGACUGCAGUGCUUUCUGUAAAAACAAACUUCAAACUUCAUACCUUGUUUUCAUAAUGUCAGAAAACUAUUCUUGAUGGUUUUGUAGGUUGACGGCGGAUACUUGAGAGUAUUUGGUUUAUGUAACUUCUGAGCAUGUUCAUUGAUUCUAGAGUUGCGGCCUUCUGUUAUGUGUAGAUGUAAAUGUAAAAGAAACAGUAAGUAAUCUCCCUUUCUUUUCAUUUGUAUUUGUUAUGAUUUUAUAUAACAUGUCUUAUUGCAGCUAUGCAUUGCUGCAAUUGUACUGAUCGCCUAUGAUAAAAAGGGAAUAAUAUUUUGUCCAAAGUGAGCAGAUGAGAGAAUAAUAAUGCUUAUUUUCUGACAAAAAAUGUGGCUUCCGUAAUAGCCUAUAGUAGCUCUGGACUGAACUAGACGGGCGCUCUCUGCUACCUUGCAAGUGUGUGUAACCUCACAUGAAAGUAUACUCAUUCACACGCUGCUAUAUUAUCUCCUAAUGCCUUCCCCUAAUAACAGAGCCCGUAAUCAAUACAUGUCAGGAAUAUGUCCUCAUCUGUACACAUAAAUUUCUACUACUGUACAUUGCAUCUUAUUUAUUGUAUGCUUUCCUGGUCUAAUGAACUGGAAUUGAAGUCCUGUUUUGGUUUGUUCUUAAAUCUCACGUAUGUACCUCAAUACCAUCUAUGGUUUACUUUCUUAGAUACAUUAAAUUUUAGUAAGUUUCACGGAAACAAUUUUGCACAUCUAAAGUAUGGUGCGACCCCUUCUGAUUGCUUUCCGCACUAUUGUAUAUUUAAAACAUGAUUCAUAUAUGAUAUUUUUCAAUUUGUUAUCCUCCCAUAAUCACCCAGUUAAUGUAUUCCGCCAUUAAAAGUAUUCAUGAUGCUCUUUUAUUACUGUAUUUUACACUCUUGGGUACAACUUAUUUGUUUUGUUGUCUUUACUAGGGAGACACUUCAUUGUGCUGCUAAGUGAUCAAAGUCAGCAGAAUUCUUUUUUGUAACAUUGUUCUCAUCUCUGAACAGAUGUUGUUUCUUUUAUGUUAUGAUUUUUUACAACAAAACACAUUAAUUGACAUAUGAUUUGUUAGCUUUCUAUAAUGUUUUAAUUCUCUGAAAUCAAUUAUUGCAAAGAUUCAUUGUCAGUGCUCCAUGUUGUAAAGAUUCAAUGCUUUUAGUGGUUAUAUUAAUCCAAAGUUUUCUUUAAAUGGUUAUCUCAUUACAUCCAGCAUCUUCUGUUAGUUAUUUUUCAUCUGUAACAUCUUAUCUGUUCAGGUUGGCAUCACACAGGAAGAUCUUAUGGUUAACAUGUAGUUGUACUAGUGAACUAGGAUGUCUACAUGGUGAUUCAUUUGUUCAUAGUGACAACAUAAUCAGGUGGGGUGAGGCUAUCAAUCUGUGAUCUUUCAAGCAUUGCAAGUUUGGUGCUCUUCUGCUGGCAACAUGGGGCCAUCUUUGAAUAAUGCAGUUUCACAUGAUGAUGGCGAGUCUGGUUUUCAGAACAUCUCAUGAAAAUGGCAAUGUCAUUUGACAAACGGCUGUGCUGAAAUAUACAGAAGUGUGAACAUGCCAUUGUUUCCUAGACAUAGUUGUAGCCAUAUGUCAAGCUCAAACCGUUAGUGUAGCUUAGUUUGAAGACAUGACAUCUUAUUGUCGCAUGUAAAUUAUGUUUACCGAUGUGGUUAGUUGCUACUGAACACAUCUAUGGAUGUAGAAAUCUUGAAUUUUUAGUUUGAAUGUGUUUCAGGUCUGCUAUUGAA